GGGGUGCGUUGGGCCUUGUUGCGCAAAUCAGCCUUUGCCAGUUGAUGCCUUUUCCAACUCUUUUUGGGACUGCAGUUAUGGACUCUCCAUUGCAACCGCUGCAGAGAUCUCUGGGUGUAUCUGUGUCCAUCACAGUUGAAUCUGGCAUCUGGAGUACUAAUGGCUGCCAUUAAGACAUACCCUUGCUUCCAGUUUAAGAUUACCUUCCAUGCAGUUGAGUGCCUGUGUCCAGGGGGGCACCUCCUUUUUUCCUUCCUGGUGUGGAUCCAAUUAAAUAAUAAACAGGAAUUAAAAAAUGUGAGUCCUUUUACCUUUUCCAGAUUGGUCCCAAAUCCUUUUAUUUUAGGGAGGUUGCCGCUUUAAUGACGGAUCUCAAGGCUUCUUGCCGUGGGGUCGUGAUCGUGCCGUGUGUCUGUGCUCAAUCUUGGAGCCUCCCCUGGCUCUCCCUGGAGCUUUGGGAACUCCAUGAGAACAUCUACUAACACCGCUGGACCCUCCAGAACCUGAACUAAAACCCUCAGAU